GAGGUCAUAAUCUUUUUCUUUUAUAAGAACUUUAAGAAAAAAUUAUGCUGUUAUCCCUACGGUAGCUAGUUAUUCUCAAUUUGAGGAUUUUUGAAGAUGGAAUAAGAAGAUUUAGUUUUUUACCGCCCCAGUUCAACAAAAGUUAAGUUCGAUAGGGUCUUGUCGUCCUUCUAAAAAAUUCAAGUCUUUUUACUUGAAAGCUAAGUUAAAGGAAUAGAAAUAAUAAAGGAAUUUAUGUGUCAGACCUUUCAUUCUAGCCUUUAAUUAAAAGGCAAAUGAUUAUGCUACCUUAGCACAAAAUUAUUGCGGCUAUUUAAAAAAAAUCAUUGAGCAGGCCCUACUGAAUCUAAUCUCAUUCAGAAAUGUUUUUGGUAAACAGACAAUAAAUAAAAGCCGAGUUCAUAAUUUUUAAUUUAAUAAAGAUUAGGGUAGAAUUUUAUCAUAAAAUUUUAUAAAAUAUUUACUAAUAAAAUCAUUGUGAGAUCUUUAAGAGUUAACUCUUUUAAAAAAAUUCUUAAUAAGGCGAAGAAUGGGUUUUAAAACCAGAAGGACACUGUUAAUCCUGAAUUUACGGUGAAGUGAAAAGGAGAAUAUAUUAAAAAGGUUGUCCUUUUUAAUAUAUUUGUACUUUUACCUUAGAAGAGAACCAGAUAUCAUAGAAUGCGAAUGGAAUUUCAUCUCUAUCUCUAUUUUGAAGAAAUCUUUGAAACGAAUUCGGCAUAAAAGAGAUAGAUCAUCUCUAUUUCGGGAGAGAUUUUUAAAAAUGCUUGUUAGAUUUUCCCUGAGACCAAAGGUACAAUUCUUUUCUCUUUUUCAAUUAUAAAAAUCCCCUCGCGGUGAAAUAAACUAAAAGAAUAAAUUAAAAGAAGAAAGUAUUUGUUUAAACAAAAACCUAAAACCCUCU
rnacentral:rRNA from 1 species